rnacentral:rRNA from 1 species
ACGCUCGACACCUACUGGAGGCAGCAGUUGGGAAUAUUGGACAAUGGAGGAAACUCUGAUCCAGUGACGCCGCGUGAAGGAAGAAGGUCUUCGGAUUGUAAACUUAUUUUGUCAGGGAAGAAAAAUGACUGUACCUGAAGAAAAAGCACCGGCUAACUACGUGCCGACAGCCGCGGUAAUCUGAGCGGGCUGGCAAGGC